rnacentral:rRNA from 1 species
UACGUAGGGUGCAAGCGUUGUUCGGAAUUACUGGGCGUAAAGGGCUCGUAGGCGGCCAACUAAGUCAGACGUGAAAUCCCUCGGCUUAACCGGGGAACUGCGUCUGAUACUGGAUAGCUUGAGUUCGGGAGAGGGAUGCGGAAUUCCAGGUGUAGCGGUGAAAUGCGUAGAUAUCUGGAGGAACACCGGUGGCGAAGGCGGCAUCCUGGACCGAUACUGACACUGAGGAGCGAAAGCCAGGGGAGCAAACGGG